CUGUUGACUUCGAUACCAACGAAGAGAGAUGUAUCACAUUACGUCAACACAUUAUGAUGUGAGCUCCGUUUUCAGGGGAGCUCAAGCACAGCUAUUGAGGCAUGAUGUGACUAUGCAAUACAGCCACAGGAACCAAGGAAUGUUCUUAAGUUACCACCUUGAAUCACAGUUUUGGGAAGAACACAGGAAAAUCCUUUCUCACAGAAGCAUGGACUUACUAUCACAAGAAAUGAAUAACUUUCUCAGAAGCUGUCUGGACAGAAGGUGGAACUGGACUUUACAAACUGUUGCUAUAAGAUUAACCAUUAAGCAUC